rnacentral:rRNA from 1 species
UACGUAGGGGGCAAGCGUUAUCCGGAUUUACUGGGUGUAAAGGGGGCGCAGACGGCGAUGUAAGCCAGGAGUGAAAGCCCGGGGCCCAACCCCGGGACUGCUCUUGGAACUGCGUGGCUGGAGUGCAGGAGGGGCAGGCGGAAUUCCUGGUGUAGCGGUGAAAUGCGUAGAUAUCAGGAGGAACACCGGUGGCGAAGGCGGCCUGCUGGACUGCAACUGACGUUGAGGCCCGAAAGCGUGGGGAGCAAACAGG